UACGGAGGGUGCAAGCGUUGUUCGGAUUUACUGGGCGUAAAGCGCGCGCAGGUGGAUGAACAAGUCGGAAGUGAAAUCUUGAGGCUCAACCUCGAGCUGUCGGCGGAAACCAUCUGGCUAGAGUCCGGAAGAGGAGAGUGGAAUUCCUGGUGUAGCGGUGAAAUGCGCAGAUAUCAGGAAGAACACCUAUGGCGAAGGCAGCUCUCUGGGACGGUACUGACGCUGAGACGCGAAAGCGUGGGGAGCGAACAGG
rnacentral:rRNA from 1 species